GACGAACGCUGGCGGCGUGCUUAACACAUGCAAGUCGAACGGAAAGGCCCUGCUUUUGUGGGGUGCUCGAGUGGCGAACGGGUGAGUAACACGUGAGUAACCUGCCCUUGACUUUGGGAUAACUUCAGGAAACUGGGGCUAAUACCGGAUAGGAGCUCCUGCUGCAUGGUGGGGGUUGGAAAGUUUCGGCGGUUGGGGAUGGACUCGCGGCUUAUCAGCUUGUUGGUGGGGUAGUGGCUUACCAAGGCUUUGACGGGUAGCCGGCCUGGGAGGGUGACCGGCGACAGUGGGACUGAGAUACGGCCCAUACUACAACGGGAGGCAGCAGUGGGGAAAAUUGCACAAUGGGCGGAAGCCUGAUGCAGCAACGCCGCGUGCGGGAUGACGGCCUUCGGGUUGUAAACCGCUUUCGCCUGUGACGAAGCGUGAGUGACGGUAAUGGGUAGAGAAGCACCGGCUAACUACGUG
rnacentral:rRNA from 1 species